UACGAAGGGGGCUAGCGUUGCUCGGAAUCACUGGGCGUAAAGGGUGCGUAGGCGGGUUUUUAAGUCAGGGGUGAAAUCCUGGAGCUCAACUCCAGAACUGCCUUUGAUACUGAAGAUCUUGAGUCCGGGAGAGGUGAGUGGAACUGCGAGUGUAGAGGUGAAAUUCGUAGAUAUUGGGAAGAACACCGGUGGCGAAGGCGGCGACCUGGUCCGUGACUGACGCUGAGGCGCGAAAGCGUGGGGAGCAAACAGG
rnacentral:rRNA from 1 species